rnacentral:rRNA from 1 species
GUAUUCCUACGGGACGCAGCAGUGGGGAAUAUUGCACAAUGGGCGAAAGCCUGAUGCAGCAACGCCGCGUGAAGGAAGACGGUUUUCGGAUUGUAAACUUCUAUCAAUAGGGAAGAAAGAAAUGACGGUACCUAAAUAAGAAGCCCCGGCUAACUACGUGCCAGCAGCCGCGGUAAUACGUAGGUGGCAAGCGUUGUCCGGAAUUACUGGGUGUAAAGGGAGCGUAGGCGGGAAAGGAAGUUGAAUGUUUAAGGAACGGGCUCAACCUGGACAAGCGUUCCAAACUGUUUUUCUUGAGUGGAGUA